rnacentral:rRNA from 1 species
CCUACGGGAGGCAGCAGUGGGGGAUAUUGCACAAUGGGGGAAACCCUGAUGCAGCGACGCCGCGUGAGUGAAGACGUAUUUCUGUAUGUAAAGCCCUAUCAGCAGGGAAGAAAAUGACAGUACCUGACCAAGAAGCCCCGGCUAACUACGUGCCAGCAGCCGCGGUAAUACGUAGGGGGCAAGCGUUAUCCGGAUUUACUGGGUGUAAAGGGAGCGUAGACGGUUAUGUAAGUCUGGAGUGAAAGCCCGGGGCCCAACCCCGGGACUGCUUUGGAAACUGUGUAACUGGAGUACAGGAGGGGCAGGCGGAAUUCGUGGUGUAGCGGUGAAAUGCGUAGAUAUCAGGAGGAACACCGGCGGCGAAGGCGGCCUGCUGGACUGAAACUGACGUUGAGGCUCGAAAGCGUGGGGAGCGAACAGGAUUAGAUACCCUAGUAGUC